rnacentral:rRNA from 1 species
GAUGAACGCUGGCGGCAUGCUUAACACAUGCCAGUCGGACGGGAAGUGGUUUAUCGAGUGGCGUACGGGUGAGUAACGGGCAAGAACCUGCGGUAGGGAGGGGAACAACAACUGGAAACGGUUGCUAAUACGCCGUAGGCUGAGUAGCAAAAGGUGGAACCCGCCCGAGGAGGGGCUUGCGCUUGGUUAGCUAGUUGGUUAGGUAAUAGCUUACCAAGGCGAUGAGUAGUAGGUGGUCCGAGAGGAUGAUCAGCCACACUGGGACUGAGACACGGAGCAGACUCUUACGGGAGGCAGGAGUGGGGAAGAUUCCGCAAUGGGGGAAAGGCUAACGGGGCAAUGCGGCGGGGAGGUAGAAGGCCCAGGGAAGGAGAGCUGCUGUUCUCGGAGAAGAUGCAAUGACGGUAUCUGAGGAAUAAGCACCGGCUAACUCUGUG